rnacentral:rRNA from 1 species
UACAGAGGGUGCAAGCGUUGUUCGGAAUUAUUGGGCGUAAAGGGUGCGUAGGCGGCCUGACAAGUCUGAUGUGAAAUCCCUGGGCUCAACCCAGGGCCUGCAUCGGAAACUGUCGGGCUUGAGUAUGGGAGAGGUGAGUGGAAUUUCCGGUGUAGCGGUGAAAUGCGUAGAUAUCGGAAGGAACACCUGUGGCGAAAGCGGCUCACUGGACCAUUACUGACGCUGAGGCACGAAAGCUAGGGGAGCAAACAGG